rnacentral:rRNA from 1 species
UGGGGAAUUUUGGACAAUGGGCUCAAGCCUGAUCCAGCCAUGCCGCGUGAGUGAAGAAGGCCUUCGGGUUGUAAAGCUCUUUCAGACGGAAAGAAAUCUCUUGGGCGAAUACCCUGGGAGGAUGACGGUACCGUAAGAAGAAGCACCGGCUAACUACGUGCCAGCAGCCGCGGUAAUACGUAGGGUGCGAGCGUUAAUCGGAAUUACUGGGCGUAAAGCGUGCGCAGGCGGUGAUGUAAGACAGAUGUGAAAUCCCCGGGCUCAACCUGGCAACUGCGUUUGUGACUGCAUCACUCGAGUACGGCAUAGGGAGGUGGAAUUCCGCGUGUAGCAGUGAAAUGCUUGGAUAUGCGGAGGAACACCGAUGGCGAAGGCAGCCUCCUGGGCCAGUACUGACGCUCAUGCACGAAAGCGUGGGGCGCAUACA